CCGAACUUGCACCGACAGCCUUUUGUCAGGCCUGUGACAUGCUUUCUGACUGCUGCAAGAUGUUUGUCAGAGCCCCACACCAUGACUAAGUCAUUGGUUCUUGACCAUCCGUACCUUGAAGAGGUAUUAUGGCCAGCUGCUACUCCCCAUUGAGAAAAGAUCCCUGCAAGCAUACUUGACUGGCUGUAUGUGUCUAACACGUCUGCAAGCACCAACUGGAGUGGGUGCUGCACAAUGAUCGAUGUACGUAAUCAUUACCCACAGCAGUGGUGUCGGUCAGUGCUGUAACUACCUUCCUCAACAAUCACCAGCUGUGUGGAGUGACAAGUUUUGACAAAAUUAGUCGGCCUCUCUCCUUCUUAUCCCUUUAUCGACUCAGAGGAGAUGCUUGACCACCACAUAAUUUGGUAUUUCCCCUUUAGCCUAAUAUUUGCUUCCUACACCAGCCACAGUGCUUC